rnacentral:rRNA from 1 species
UACGUAGGAGGCGAGCGUUGUCCGGAGUUACUGGGCGUAAAGUGUGCGCAGGCGGCGUCGCAAGUCGAGUGUGAAAGCCCCGAGCUUAACUUGGGAAUUGCGCUCGAAACUACGAUGCUGGAGUAUGGCAGAGGAAGGUGGAAUUCCACGUGUAGCGGUGAAAUGCGUAGAGAUGUGGAGGAACACCGAUGGCGAAGGCAGCCUUCUGGGCCAAUACUGACGCUCAUGCACGAAAGCGUGGGGAGCAAACAGG